rnacentral:rRNA from 1 species
UCUGAUCCAGCCAUGCCGCGUGCAGGAAGAAUGCCCUAUGGGUAGUAAACUGCUUAUACGGGAAGAAAAAGAGCUACGUGUAGCUUACUGACGGUACCGUAAGAAUAAGGACCGGCUAACUCCGUGCCAGCAGCCGCGGUAAUACGGAGGGUCCGAGCGUUAUCCGGAAUUAUUGGGUUUAAAGGGUCCGUAGGCGGGCCGAUAAGUCAGGGGUGAAAGUCUGCCGCUCAACGGUAGAACUGCCUUUGAUACUGUCGGUCUUGAGUUAUAGUGAAGUUGCCGGAAUAUGUAGUGUAGCGGUGAAAUGCAUAGAUAUUACAUAGAACACCGAUUGCGAAGGCAGGUGACUAACUAUAUACUGACGCUGAUGGACGAAAGCGUGGGGAGCGCAGGAUUAGAUACCCUGGUAGUCCACGCCGUAAA